rnacentral:rRNA from 1 species
UACGGAGGGUGCGAGCGUUGCUCGGAAUCACUGGGCGUAAAGCGUACGCAGGCGGAUCGUUAAGUCGGGUGUGAAAGCCCGGGGCUCAACCCCGGAACUGCAUUCGAAACUGGCGGUCUUGAGUACGGGAGAGGGAGGCGGAAUUCCUGGUGUAGAGGUGAAAUUCGUAGAUAUCAGGAGGAACACCGGUGGCGAAAGCGGCCUCCUGGCCCGAUACUGACGCUCAUGUACGAGAGCGUGGGGAGCAAACAGG